UAAGCGACUAAGCGUACACGGUGGAUGCCCUGGCAGUCAGAGGCGAUGAAGGACGUGCUAAUCUGCGAUAAGCGUCGGUAAGGUGAUAUGAACCGUUAUAACCGGCGAUUUCCGAAUGGGGAAACCCAGUGUGAUUCGUCACACUAUCAUUAACUGAAUCCAUAGGUUAAUGAGGCGAACCGGGGGAACUGAAACAUCUAAGUACCCCGAGGAAAAGAAAUCAACCGAGAUUCCCCCAGUAGCGGCGAGCGAACGGGGAGCAGCCCAGAGCCUGAAUCAGUGUGUGUGUUAGUGGAAGCGUCUGGAAAGGCGUGCGAUACAGGGUGACAGCCCCGUACACAAAAAUGCACAUACUGUGAGCUCGAUGAGUAGGGCGGGACACGUGGUAUCCUGUCUGAAUAUGGGGGGACCAUCCUCCAAGGCUAAAUACUCCUGACUGACCGAUAGUGAACCAGUACCGUGAGGGAAAGGCGAAAAGAACCCCGGCGAGGGGAGUGAAAAAGAACCUGAAACCGUGUACGUACAAGCAGUGGGAGCACGCUUAGGCGUGUGACUGCGUACCUUUUGUAUAAUGGGUCAGCGACUUAUAUUCUGUAGCAAGGUUAACCGAAUAGGGGAGCCGAAGGGAACCGAGUCUUAACUGGGCGUUAAGUUGCAGGGUAUAGACCCGAAACCCGGUGAUCUAGCCAUGGGCAGGUUGAAGGUUGGGUAACACUAACUGGAGGACCGAACCGACUAAUGUUGAAAAAUUAGCGGAUGACUUGUGGCUGGGGGUGAAAGGCCAAUCAAACCGGGAGAUAGCUGGUUCUCCCCGAAAGCUAUUUAGGUAGCGCCUCGUGAAUUCAUCUCCGGGGGUAGAGCACUGUUUCGGCAAGGGGGUCAUCCCGACUUACCAACCCGAUGCAAACUGCGAAUACCGGAGAAUGUUAUCACGGGAGACACACGGCGGGUGCUAACGUCCGUCGUGAAGAGGGAAACAACCCAGACCGCCAGCUAAGGUCCCAAAGUCAUGGUUAAGUGGGAAACGAUGUGGGAAGGCCCAGACAGCCAGGAUGUUGGCUUAGAAGCAGCCAUCAUUUAAAGAAAGCGUAAUAGCUCACUGGUCGAGUCGGCCUGCGCGGAAGAUGUAACGGGGCUAAACCAUGCACCGAAGCUGCGGCAGCGACGCUUAUGCGUUGUUGGGUAGGGGAGCGUUCUGUAAGCCUGUGAAGGUGUGCUGUGAGGUAUGCUGGAGGUAUCAGAAGUGCGAAUGCUGACAUAAGUAACGAUAAAGCGGGUGAAAAGCCCGCUCGCCGGAAGACCAAGGGUUCCUGUCCAACGUUAAUCGGGGCAGGGUGAGUCGACCCCUAAGGCGAGGCCGAAAGGCGUAGUCGAUGGGAAACAGGUUAAUAUUCCUGUACUUGGUGUUACUGCGAAGGGGGGACGGAGAAGGCUAUGUUGGCCGGGCGACGGUUGUCCCGGUUUAAGCGUGUAGGCUGGUUUUCCAGGCAAAUCCGGAAAAUCAAGGCCGAGGCGUGAUGACGAGGCACUACGGUGCUGAAGCAACAAAUGCCCUGCUUCCAGGAAAAGCCUCUAAGCAUCAGGUAACAUCAAAUCGUACCCCAAACCGACACAGGUGGUCAGGUAGAGAAUACCAAGGCGCUUGAGAGAACUCGGGUGAAGGAACUAGGCAAAAUGGUGCCGUAACUUCGGGAGAAGGCACGCUGAUACGUAGGUGAAGCGACUUGCUCGUGGAGCUGAAAUCAGUCGAAGAUACCAGCUGGCUGCAACUGUUUAUUAAAAACACAGCACUGUGCAAACACGAAAGUGGACGUAUACGGUGUGACGCCUGCCCGGUGCCGGAAGGUUAAUUGAUGGGGUUAGCGCAAGCGAAGCUCUUGAUCGAAGCCCCGGUAAACGGCGGCCGUAACUAUAACGGUCCUAAGGUAGCGAAAUUCCUUGUCGGGUAAGUUCCGACCUGCACGAAUGGCGUAAUGAUGGCCAGGCUGUCUCCACCCGAGACUCAGUGAAAUUGAACUCGCUGUGAAGAUGCAGUGUACCCGCGGCAAGACGGAAAGACCCCGUGAACCUUUACUAUAGCUUGACACUGAACAUUGAGCCUUGAUGUGUAGGAUAGGUGGGAGGCUUUGAAGUGUGGACGCCAGUCUGCAUGGAGCCGACCUUGAAAUACCACCCUUUAAUGUUUGAUGUUCUAACGUGGACCCGUGAUCCGGGUUGCGGACAGUGUCUGGUGGGUAGUUUGACUGGGGCGGUCUCCUCCUAAAGAGUAACGGAGGAGCACGAAGGUUGGCUAAUCCUGGUCGGACAUCAGGAGGUUAGUGCAAUGGCAUAAGCCAGCUUGACUGCGAGCGUGACGGCGCGAGCAGGUGCGAAAGCAGGUCAUAGUGAUCCGGUGGUUCUGAAUGGAAGGGCCAUCGCUCAACGGAUAAAAGGUACUCCGGGGAUAACAGGCUGAUACCGCCCAAGAGUUCAUAUCGACGGCGGUGUUUGGCACCUCGAUGUCGGCUCAUCACAUCCUGGGGCUGAAGUAGGUCCCAAGGGUAUGGCUGUUCGCCAUUUAAAGUGGUACGCGAGCUGGGUUUAGAACGUCGUGAGACAGUUCGGUCCCUAUCUGCCGUGGGCGCUGGAGAACUGAGGGGGGCUGCUCCUAGUACGAGAGGACCGGAGUGGACGCAUCACUGGCGUUCGGGUUGUCAUGCCAAUGGCACUGCCCGGUAGCUAAAUGCGGAAGAGAUAAGUGCUGAAAGCAUCUAAGCACGAAACUUGCCCCGAGAUGAGUUCUCCCUGACCCUUUAAGGGUCCUGAAGGAACGUUGAAGACGACGACGUUGAUAGGCCGGGUGUGUAAGCGCAGCGAUGCGUUGAGCUAACCGGUACUAAUGAACCGUGAGGCUUAACCU
rnacentral:rRNA from 1 species